rnacentral:Y_RNA from 1 species
GGUUAGUCUGAGUGCAGUGGUGUUUACAACUUAUUGAUCACAACCAUUUACAGAUUCCUUUGUUCCUUCUCCACUCCCACUGCUCCACUUGACCAGCAAAA